rnacentral:lncRNA from 7 species
GGUGCGUGUGUGGUACGGUGAGGAGGACCAAAGACCAUAGAAACUGGCGGACUCGCAGCGCAGAGCGGUGGGAGGAAGGCGAUGGGUUUUCCGCGUUUCAGCGCGCAUGCGUGUCACUGCCUGGAGGACCAAACACCAUAGAAAUUGGCGGGCUUGCGGCGCAGAGCGUUCAGAACAGGGAGCACAACAGCAUCACAGAGCACCACUGCUGAUUCAGUGUGGCCUUGAUGUGCACCGGCCUUUCCUGUGUGGUGUGAAGAAGAAGCCUGCAAUACCUCAGCUUCCAAGAGAUAAGGCCUCACAUCUUGCACACAGCAUCCAAAUAACCUUUUCAAAAGCAUUACUGGUGGGACACACAUGCAUUUCAGGGCCUAUGGAGAAGAAGCUUGUCAGUUUAUCCAGUCUUUUUCAAUAGGCUCCCAGCUCAGUCUGACAGCAAGCAGUAUUCCCAGUCUUACGGCAAUUAGAGAAGAGAAAUAUCCUUUGUGUUAGCGUUUUUCAUUCUGCUGGCCAGAAAGUUUGUUCCAAGUGUUGAAGACAAAAACAAAGCCUUCAUUGAGGCUAAUGGGGAGAGUGCCUCAUUCAUGACAGAAGGCAAAAAGGAAUUGGGAAGAUAAUAUGACAUUUUGCAGGCAUGCGAGUCUCAUUGAAUAGCAGUGUAAGAGCACUUUUCUGAGCACUAUCCAGCACUAUCCAUAGGAACUGCUCUGCAGUCCGUACACAAAUGUCUGUGCCAAUCUGAAGCAGCUAUUCUGUCAGUAAUUACAAAGUAAACACACAGCUGUGACACAUCCAGAUACCACUGGCUGCAUCCAAGUGUCCAUCGUACAGAAGCACUCUUGAGGCACUCUCAGGCACAGAAGUUUUUUAGUUCCUAAAGGUACUUUUCAUAGGAGGUGUGGAAGAAAUGUGAGAAAGAGGUGUCUUAGAUGAGAGGAGACGACUGGACUAUGUGGAUCAAGGGAGAAGAUUUCAUCGGCCUGAUGAUUCUCUGCUGGAAAUCAGUGGAUGACUCAAAGCAAAGACAAAAGGCAGCCAAGUGUCAGACAGCAAAAGACAACACCGUUUUUCUUUCUUCAUGACAGCUGGGAUGAACAUUUGCAAGAUACGGAUCCAAAUGUUUCUGUACGUAAAACUGUUUGUCACCUGGUGAUCAGCUAUGCCUGUUUGUUACCAUGACCAAACAGUGAGUCCUCAUUUUGAUUCAUCAAGAACUUUGCCCUUUGUUGUGAACUAAAGUACUACUAAAAC